CUAGACUGAGACAGGGGAGAGGGAAGGAGGGAGAACGAAAAAAAGGGAUCACCCUCCUCCUUCCAACCCUGUCUCCCUUCC
rnacentral:miRNA from 1 species